CCAGCUGUUGGAGGCAAAUCAAAGAUGAAGAACAAGGAUGAAGGACUUUGACAGGCUGAUCUGCACUGUCCAAACUGAACUCUUCUAAUGAGCCGCGAGUGAGGUGAAGGCUUGUUGUGCAGGACGUCCUGGAGUCUCACGGUAAGUUCCUAUUACUCGUUGUUUUAAUGCACAUGUCCUUCUAUAAUGCAGUUACAAUGAUGAUGAACUUAGCUCACUUUGAACCGAUGUGAAACGACACGAACAACUGAGCAACUGCAUUACUUUCAGCUUCAAGUCUGGAAUGAACUUUAGUUAAAAGUGUCUCCAGCGUGUAGUAACUGUGUUCUGUUACAGGUUCAUGACCGAGGCUUCACUCGUGCUGCUGAAGUCCAUGGUGCUGCUGAAGUCAAAGGUACCUGGCUCUUGGAGAUGCUGCCAACUUAACGACAGGUGCUUGUCCAGGUCAAUGCUGAACUGGGGUCAUCAAGACGGACCGAGCCAAUGA
rnacentral:lncRNA from 1 species